rnacentral:rRNA from 1 species
UGAUUUUAUGCUUGCAUAAAUGAUUUUUGGAUUCGGAGCGAGUGGCGAACUGGUGAGUAACACGUGGGUAACCUGCCCCGAAGCGGGGGAUAACAUUUGGAAACAAGUGCUAAUACCGCAUAAUUAGUUGGAACCGCAUGGUUCCAACUUGAAAGAUGGCUCUGCUAUCACUUUGGGAUGGACCCGCGCCGUAUUAGUUAGUUGGUGAGAUAAAAGCCCACCAAGACGAUGAUACGUAGCCGACCUGAGAGGGUAAUCGGCCACAUUGGGACUGAGACACGGCCCAGACUCCUACGGGAGGCAGCAGUAGGGAAUCUUCCACAAUGGACGAAAGUCUGAUGGAGCAACGCCGCGUGAGUGAUGAAGGUUUUCGGAUCGUAAAAAYUCUGUUGUUAAAGAAGAACAAGUGUUAGAGUAACUGUUAACACUUUGACGGUAUUUAACCAGAAAGCCACGGCUAACUACGUGCCAGCAGCCGCGGUAAUACGUAGGUGGCAAGCGUUGUCCGGAUUUAUUGGGCGUAAAGCGAGCGCAGGCGGUUUUGUAAGUCUGCUGUGAAAGCCCUCAGCUCAACUGAGGAAGUGCAGUGGAAACUACAAAACUUGAGUACAGAAGAGGAAAGUGGAACUCCAUGGUGUAGCGGUGAAAUGCGUAGAUAUAUGGAAGAACACCAGUGGCGAAGGCGGCUUUCUGGUCUGUUACUGACGCUGAGGCUCGAAAGCAUGGGUAGCGAACAGGAUUAGAUACCCUGGUAGUCCAUGCCGUAAACGAUGAAUACUAGGUGGUUGGAAGGGUUUCCGCCCUUCAGUGCCGCAGCUAACGCAUUAAGUAUUCCGCCCKGGGGAGUACGACCGCAAGGUUGAAACUCAAAGGAAUUGACGGGGGCCCGCACAAGUGGUGGAGCAUGUGGUUUAAUUCGAUGCUACGCGAAGAACCUUACCAGCUCUUGACAUCUUCUGCCAACCCAAGAGAUUGGGCGUUCCCUUCGGGGACAGAAUGACAGGUGGUGCAUGGUUGUCGUCAGCUCGUGUCGUGAGAUGUUGGGUUAAGUCCCGCAACGAGCGCAACCCUUAUUAUUAGUUGCCAGCAUUUAGUUGGGCACUCUAGUGAGACUGCCGGUGAUAAACCGGAGGAAGGUGGGGACGACGUCAAAUCAUCAUGCCCCUUAUGAGCUGGGCUACACACGUGCUACAAUGGAUGGUACAACGAGUCGCGAAACCGCGAGGUCAAGCUAAUCUCUUAAAGCCAUUCUCAGUUCGGAUUGCAGGCUGCAACUCGCCUGCAUGAAGUUGGAAUCACUAGUAAUCGUGGAUCAGCAUGCCACGGUGAAUACGUUCCCGGGCCUUGUACACACCGCCCGUCACACCAUGAGAGUUUGUAACACCCAAAGACG